rnacentral:tRNA from 1 species
GCCUCGGUAGCUCAGCAUGGUAGAGCGCUGCAUUGGUAAUGCAGAGGUCGCGAGUUCAAAUCCCGCCUGAGGCA